rnacentral:rRNA from 1 species
ACGAACGCUGGCGGCGUGCCUAAUACAUGCAAGUCGAACGGUCUUUCUAUGGAAGCUUGCUUCCACUGAGAAGAUAGUGGCGAACGGGUGAGUAACACGUGGGUAACCUGCCCAUAAGAGGGGGAUAACAUCCGGAAACGGGUGCUAAUACCGCAUAGUUUUCUUGAUCGCAUGAUUGAGAAAGGAAAGACGGCCUUUGUGCUGUCGCUUAUGGAUGGACCCGCGGCGUAUUAGUUAGUUGGUGAGGUAACGGCUCACCAAGACGAUGAUACGUAGCCGACCUGAGAGGGUGAUCGGCCACAUUGGGACUGAGACACGGCCCAAACUCCUACGGGAGGCAGCAGUAGGGAAUCUUCCGCAAUGGACGAAAGUCUGACGGAGCAACGCCGCGUGAGUGAAGAAAAGGUUUUCGGAUCGUAAAACUCUGUUGCCAGAGAAGAACAAGUUGGAGAGUAACUGCUCCAGCCUUGACGGUAUCUGACCAGAAAGCCACGGCUAACUACGUGCCAGCAGCCGC